GACGAACGCUGGCGGCGUGCUUAACACAUGCAAGUCGAACGGUGAAGCGCCUUCCUUUUUGGUGGGUGUGGAUGAGUGGCGAACGGGUGAGUAACACGUGAGUAACCUGCCCCCUUCUUCUGGAUAACCGCAUGAAAGUGUGGCUAAUACGGGAUAUUCUGGGUCUGUCGCAUGAUGGGUUUGGGAAAGUUAUUGUUUCGGUGGGGGAUGGGCUCGCGGCCUAUCAGCUUGUUGGUGGGGUGAUGGCCUACCAAGGCGGUGACGGGUAGCCGGCCUGAGAGGGUGGACGGUCACACUGGGACUGAGACACGGCCCAGACUCCUACGGGAGGCAGCAGUGGGGAAUAUUGCACAAUGGGCGCAAGCCUGAUGCAGCGACGCCGCGUGAGGGAUGGAGGCCUUCGGGUUGUGAACCUCUUUCGCCAGUGAAGCAGGCCUGCCUCGUUUGUGGGUGGGUUGACGGUAGCUGGAUAAGAAGCGCCGGCUAACUACGUG
rnacentral:rRNA from 1 species